rnacentral:lncRNA from 1 species
UUUCAUAUGUAAAUAUACAUAUGACAACCUCAUUAUAUAAAUGAGAUUAUAUUUAAAAGAAUUAAAACCUAGUCUUUCUGAUUUUCAUAUGUUAAUAUGCAUAUGACAACCUCAUUAUAUAAAUGAGAUUAUAUUUACAAGAAUUAAAACCUAGUCUUUCUCAUUUUCAUAUGUAAAUAUACAUAUUACCACCUCAUUAU